rnacentral:rRNA from 1 species
UACGUAGGAUGCAAGCGUUGUCCGGAAUCAUUGGGCGUAAAGCGCACGUAGGCGGUUCGUUAUGUCGGAUGUGAAAGCCCUUGGCUUAACCGAGGAAGUGCAUCCGAAACUGGCGAGCUAGAGUACUAAAGAGGAUCGCGGAAUUCCCGGUGUAGAGGUGAAAUUCGUAGAUAUCGGGAGGAACACCGGUGGCGAAGGCGGCGAUCUGGGUAGAUACUGACGCUGAGGUGCGAAAGCGUGGGGAGCAAACAGG